rnacentral:rRNA from 1 species
UACAGAGGGGGCGAGCGUUAUUCGGAAUUAUUGGGCGUAAAGGCGCGUAGGCGGCCUGAUAAGUAGGGGUGAAAUCUUGCGGCUCAACCGCAAGACUGCCUUCUAAACUGUCAGGCUGGAGCACGGUAGAGGCAGAUGGAAUUCCCGGUGUAGCGGUGGAAUGCGUAGAGAUCGGGAAGAACACCAGUGGCGAAGGCGGAUCUGCUGGGCCGUUGCUGACGCUGAGGCGCGACAGCGUGGGGAGCAAACAGG